rnacentral:rRNA from 1 species
UGUGUAGGCGGUUCUCCAAGUUUGGUGUGAAAUCUCCCGGCUCAACCGGGAGGGUGCGCCGAAAACUGGAGGGCUGGAGUGCGGGAGGGGAGAGUGGAAUUCCUGGUGUAGCGGUAGAAAUGCGUAGAUAUCAGGAGGAACACCGGUGGUGUAGACGGCUCUCUGGACCGUAACUGACGCUGAGACACGAAAGCGUGGGUAGCAAACAGGAUUAGAUACCCUGGUAGUCCACGCCCUAAACGAUGCAUAUUUGGUGUGGGUCAUUCAGUUGAUCCGUGCCGGAGCUAACGCGUUAAAUAUGCCGCCUGGGGAGUACAGUCGCAAGGCUGAA